GAUGAAUUUUUCUACCGUUACACUUUCUCCUCUUAAUUUCUCUUUCAUUAGUUUUCGUCCUACAAUUAUAUAUACUUCGUAGAUAUAUACAAAAAUUUAAAAUCCUCAAUGAAGAAUCCAUAUAUGAAUCUCUGCUCUAUCUCUUUCAUCAUAAUCGAUCGAUAUAAAGAUUCUCAAAACUAUAAACAUGGUGAAGGAGGAGGUAAAACUGACCAUGCCAGAAAAAAAGAUGCUCUGAAGAAAGAGAAGAAGCAGCAGGCAAGGGAUGCUGAAAGUUACCCAUGAAAAUUUGUUUGGAAUACCCACUUGAGCAAGAUAUAAUAAAUAGCUUGUGUGUUUGAAACACUACGAGGUUACAUGGUUAAAGAACCUCGACCUCGGACCUUCAUGAAACUAUUUUUGAAGGAUUAGGAGGUUGAUGGUUAAGUAACCUCGAUCUCAAACCUUUCUUCAUACAUUUACAAAAGUUAUUUUUUAAGGAUUAGAGAGUUAAUCGAUCAGAUUAUCUUGAUUUCAGACCUUCUUGAUCUCAAACUUCCGCGAAACUCAAAUUUGAAGGAUUUGAGGAUUUAAUGGUUAAGAAAACCUCAACCUUGACUGCAAACCUUCCUCUCAUGAAGUAGUUUCUUAUAGAAUUCUCAUGGGAGUUUAAUGUUUGACUUUAAACGUUAAUCUGCCAAAAGUUGUAUCUUUAAUUUCAUUAUUUUAUACCUUGUCCUCAGUUAAUAAAGUUUUUGAACAGUCCAUUGACAGUGAAAUCAUUUUUGCUUUAUUUUGAAAGAUUCGUUGCUCAACAGUAGGAUCUGUGAGUGAAGCUGUAGUUGCUAUA